CCCACAGGAGGCAAGAUGGAGGGAGGAGGCUGCAGAACUCGGGGACUCUGGAAUCCCAGAACCUUCCGGGAAUGCAAGAGGCUUCUGAAAGAUCCCUCACCUUCUGCCACCUUCUGCCACCAGAGGACACAAUGAGAAACCUGCAAUGUAGAAGAGGGCCCUAACCUGACCAUGGUGGCACCCUGAUCUUUGACUUCCAGCCUCCAGAACUGUCACUCACUUUUGGGACCCAGCAGCCAUACUGUGAGGAAGCUCAACUAGCCCACAGAGAGACUAUGUGGAGAAGGCUCAUGAAGGCGCUCUUAGCCAUCAGCGCAGCUGAGGUCCCAGCAACUGCCAGCACCAGCUGCCAGACAUGACUGAAGACUCCGCCCACUGAUUCUAGCUCCCAGCCAUCGCCAUUGAGUCUGCGUCUUGCCAGCGGAGGCUCCAGACAUCAGGGAGCAGAGACAAGCUGUUCUUGUGUCUUAUUCAAAUUCCUGACCUACAGAAUUCAUGAUUAUAUUAUAAGGGUUAUUUAACACCAUUAAGUUUGGGGGUUGUUUGUUACAAAGCAGCAGAUAAAUGGUACACCAAGUAAUAGAAGGAAAAGUG